UACGUAGGGGGCAAGCGUUGUCCGGAUUUACUGGGCGUAAAGAGCGUGUAGGCGGCCACGCAGGUCCGUUGUGAAAACUGGAGGCUCAACCUCCAGCUGUCGACGGAAACCGUAUGGCUAGAGUCCGGAAGAGGAGAGUGGAAUUCCUGGUGUAGCGGUGAAAUGCGCAGAUAUCAGGAAGAACACCUAUGGCGAAGGCAGCUCUCUGGGACGGUACUGACGCUGAGACGCGAAAGCGUGGGGAGCGAACAGG
rnacentral:rRNA from 1 species